rnacentral:rRNA from 1 species
GUGGGGAAUAUUGGACAAUGGGCGAAAGCCUGAUCCAGCCAUGCCGCGUGUGUGAAGAAGGUCUUCGGAUUGUAAAGCACUUUAAGUGAGGAGGAGGCUACCGAGAUUAAUACUCUUGGAUAGUGGACGUUACUCGCAGAAUAAGCACCGGCUAACUCUGUGCCAGCAGCCGCGGUAAUACAGAGGGUGCAAGCGUUAAUCGGAUUUACUGGGCGUAAAGCGCGCGUAGGUGGCCAAUUAAGUCAAAUGUGAAAUCCCCGAGCUUAACUUGGGAAUUGCAUUCGAUACUGGUUGGCUAGAGUAUGGGAGAGGAUGGUAGAAUUCCAGGUGUAGCGGUGAAAUGCGUAGAGAUCUGGAGGAAUACCGAUGGCGAAGGCAGUCAUCUGGCCUAAUACUGACACUGAGGUGCGAAAGCGUGGGGAGCAAACAGGAUUAGAUACCCGUGUAGUCC